CCAAUAGCGUAUAUUAAAGUUGUUGCAGUUAAAAAGCUCGUAGUUGAAUUUCGGGGUUAGCAGGUCGGUCGUGCCAUCGGUAUGAACUGGUCUCGCUGAUCCCUCCCUCUUGACGAACUGUGAUGCCAUUAAUUUGGUGUCGCAGGGAAUCAGGACUGUUACUUUGAAAAAAUUAGAGUGUUUAAAGCAGGCUCACGCUUGAAUACAUUAGCAUGGAAUAAUGAAAUAGGACGUUUGAUCCUAUUUUGUUGGCUUCUAGGAUUGACGUAAUGAUUAAUAGGGAUAGUUGGGGGCAUUAGUAUUCAAUUGUCAGAGGUGAAAUUCUUGGAUUUAUUGAAGACUAACUACUGCGAAAGCAUUUGCCAAGGAUGUUUUCAUUAAUCAAGAACGAAAGUUAGGGGAUCGAAGACGAUCAGAUACCGUCGUAGUCUUAACCAUAAACUAUGCCGACUAGGGAUCGGAUGAUGUUAAUUUUUUAAUGACUCAUUCGGCGCCUUACGGGAAACCAAAGUGUUUGGGUC
rnacentral:rRNA from 1 species